GGAGCGGUACUCAAGAGGCUGAAGAGGACGGUUUGCUAAAUCGUUAGACGGGCUUAUACCCGUGCAAGGGUUCGAAUCCCUUUCGCUCCG
rnacentral:tRNA from 1 species